AACGUGCAGUUUCCCGACAAGACAGGAUAGGCACUGGGAGAGGGAAGAACUUCUCUUUUAAAGUGCCAUAUUACAGCCCUGCAGAGGCUGAACCUGAGCCUGGUUUCCUAGGCCAGCCUCCCAGGCUUUCCAAGGUGGCUAUUCUGCUUCUCCUGGCUGUGCCCCCUUUCCUGAAAGACCCCUCCUAAGGAUUUUUCUGAGCACUACCUUAGUGUUCAGCUCUCCUUUGGCUUCCAUGAACACUCGUAAUCACUGUGCAAUUUAUGAGAACAGGAAAACUACAAAUUGAAUGUGAUCAUACAGGAAAUGUUACAAAAAUGUCAGGAGGGGCAAACGACUAACACCAGCAGAUUUCCUUUGCAGAACUGGCAAAGCUGCACUUCUGUACAGACUAUCCUGGCAGCAGGUCCCGCUGCAUUUGGUGAGGCUUCUAGCAAGCAUGCAAAGCACAUCUAUAAGAAGGACCAUCAUCAGAGAAGGCUGGGGAGGAAGAUGUCGCUGUGCAAAGGACCUGCAGUGGCGGCUCAGGAGUGCCCAGCAAACAUGUCGCAUAGAAAAGCCCAAAUGCAAUGUGUGAACUCUCAGAAAAGAAGCACCAACACUGCAAGCAGAUUCAGGAAAACGAGAUGAGUUAACAAGCCUUAAACCAGUUUACUUGGUAGAUGAAUCAGCUGACACUUUGGUUGAUUAAAUAAUGAGGGCAGUUUUUAAUUGGUGUAAUGUAGAGAUGGAUAAGGUUUUCCUGGUUUAUUUUUUGAGGGUAUAUUAGUUUCGGCAUGUUAUUAUCAUUACUGAUAUGGGAAAAACAAAUGGCUUUUCCUUCAAAGAGGUGUAGAUGCUUUUAGUUAUUGGUACAAUAUUUCCUUUAAUUUUUAAAAUAAGUAGCUGUAUUAAAUUAAUACAGUAGCUGUAUUAAAUGGGUAAUAUGCAAAUUACUCUAAACACAGCUGAUUAAAAGGCAGAUGAUUCACUAACUUAAUGUAAUCAUUCCAAUUAAUUAAGCAUAGUUGUUCAAAAUUUAGCCAUUUAAACUUGUUCAAAGUCAAAAUCAGUUUCUCUUGCUAUGAAGCCAUGGCGUUGGCAAAAGAACCGGUUAUUGCACUGGGAGAGCAGGUUCAGAGCUGGUUCUCACUCAGGUAUGUUAAUCAGGCAUAGACUACCACAUUACUGGUAAGGGAAUCACCCGACAUAAAUUUGUGACCACAAGUGGCACUUCUGAUUCAUUGUAGGGGGUAAGUGAAAUAAAAGACAAAUGGAUGCAUUUUCCCAUUUCCCAGCUUAGCACCUUCCAGAUGUUUUGGACUACAGCUUUCAUCAUCCCCAGACUAUAAGGGGAGAGAUCCAGCUUGAGAAAGGCUAAUGCUCCGCAUAACCAAGGGCUAGCUCUCUUUGACCACUGUCAACUUUCUUAGAAAGUGCUGUCAGUUUCCAGCGGAGAGAGAAAGAAAUGAAACAGAACGAUCCACACCCAUCACAUCACUUGUUCUAAAGCUGGGCUGUGCGUCUUUCAAAAGGCCAUAAACAUGCCACUUUAAUGGUCUGUAAUAAACACACACACUUCCAGGCUUGCUAACACAGGAAUAAGAUUUUGCCCAACCGGUAAACCAAAAUAUGUCACACUCCGUGAUCAACAUUUGUUCCCAAUCACUUUGACACGCUGGUGCUCAUUUGCUAUUUAGGAUACUGUGUCAGGGAUCACAACUUAUACCGGAAAGUGUUAACAAAUGGACAUAAAAAAUAAAACCCCAGGCAUUGGUAUGCCACAUCUCCCCUCGUCACCUUGAAAGACUUGUCGUUGCAAUAAGAAAUUUAAUGCAUCCAGCACAGGGCUAAAUUAUAGUGUCUCUUAAACUUUAGUGUAUUGAAGGCCACUGUUCUGGCAUACCUGUUCUUUGUUGCUCACUACACAGGUUCCGGCCCUUUUGCUUUUUUCGCUCUUAAAUCUGAAAUUAUUUGGUUCAGUUCCCUAUUGUUCUGUUCGCUGAGGUUUAGCUGCUGCAUUAAUUUCCAUUUUUAAAAUGUUUGCCAAAUAGGGGCUAGCCUCUUCAAUAAGAGAGGGAGGUUUCCCCUGGGUGUAUGUUUUGUGCACUGAAGGCCUUUUUGCACAUUAUCUUUUAGAUGUACUCCUACAACAUGUAUAUUCAGUCAUCCUCUUAAAACAUCUGAGGGAUGCACCUCUCAAAAUGUAGCAAAAAUAACAAGAGUGAAUGCAGCAUUUUCAGAAGUGGUAACUGAUUGUCACUCCACGCUGAGUGGCUGACUCACUUUUGCCUCUGCAUUAAGUGGGAGGUGGCCUUCCAAGUGUGCCAGGUACCAUGGGUGGUCUGCAGGCCCCAGGGUAAGGUGCAGAGCUCUUGAACCUGGGACUCGGGCUGCGGGAUGCAAGCGCCUCGUUUUGUGGGCUUGCCCGAGGAAAUGAGCAUUGGCCUUCUCUGGUUGUGCUUCUGCCUCUACCCAUGUCCAGAAGGUGGCAUUCCAGCUGCCAGUUUAGGAGGUGACACAAGAGGCCCAAAGGCUGUGGAUACUGGGCUGGUUUUGGUCCCAGCAGCUCAACUGGUUGCUCUUUGAUGACCCAUUCGCCGUUAGGCUGCCUGCCUGCUCCCCAGCUUGGCUCCCUGCAUGCUCGCCAGGGAGGUACACCAACUCUGAUUCCACCCUUAUCAGAUCAGAUCAGAACAAACCCUGUUUGCACCCUUGAUUGCUGAUGUGUGCACACUUUGUGGGCGAAGUUCGGAUAUUCUCAAGCUUACGGCAGUCGUUUGCAAAAUGCAAAUGUACUUUAGAAAAAUGUGCAUGUUUGAGGCAAAUGUGCAUUUUCAUGUUUUAUUCCGUAGGGAGAAAAUAGGCAUUUGGAGGGUCACUUUUAAAAAAUGUGCAGCCCAAUCUCUACUUUGGCUGCUUAAAUGAGGGUGGGGAGGAGAGCUCCCAGUCAGGAUCAGGAAGCUGGAGGGGGAUCCCACGUCUCUGCUGGCUGAUGGAUUUCUUUUUAUCUCAAUGGGGUCAGUCCUGAGCCAUCAAGCUACUGGUUCUGAUUCAAGUACCUUCUCAGGCAGGCCUCCCCUCAGCUUUAGCCUUCUCCAGCCAGGUGUGCUCCAGAUGUGUUGGACUGCAACUCCUAUCCAGCCACUGCAGACCCACACAUCUGCAGACUGCCAGCAUGGAGAAAGAUGCUUUACUUGCUCCCUCCAUGCUGACUUUACUUUUUUCACGCUGCAUAAAUAUGGAACUGGAACAAGACUCAUGCCCCCCACAUUAAAGGGAAAUAAUGACCUCUCUAGAUGCAGAGAGAAGGGAAAGCAACACAUUUGUGAAAUAUUCCAAUUUCCAUGCAAGCGCCUUCCCUGGCGGUGUGCAGCUUCAGCAGAUCGUGCUGGUAUCAUGUAGGAAAUAUCCCCCUGGGGACAAAUAAGCGUAAUAUCUAAGAAGCAAAUUUAAAUUUGUGUUUCUGUCUUAGAAAGGGGGGCUUCUUGGCUGAGGUCAGAGAGCGAUUUCUGAUGCAUAGCAGGAGCAGCAAAGCUAUGCCGGAAAGAUUAUUCUCCCAGUCAGCAACAAGUCAUAGAGCCAAGAGCCUCGAGGGAGUCCAUACAGAAACUCGUUAAUUCCAGAAGGUUGCGAUGGAUCUGACCAUACGUGUCUACAGGGCAACCCUGGGCAAAAUACCAUCCCUCCUGUCCUUCUAUAGCCUUAAUCAGACCGUUAUUCCCUAUCAGUGUCAUAAAUAAAAAUUAGCAUAUUAUUACCUUGGAGAGGAGGUCAGUGUUUCCUGUGGGAUGUGUAGCGCAUCUCUGAGAUGCAGAACAUGAUUUAACAAUGGCUUCCUGUAAAUAUUCCAAUUUAGUUCUCUGCCUUGGGUAACAAAGGGCUGGGGUAUCUGCUGAGGGUGAAGCCACACAUGGGAAGCUGUCAAUUUUCGUGCACAAGAAAGUCACAAAUAAGAAACUCUAGGAUGUGGGUUAUUUGUUCUGGCUUAAACACAAGACAUGAGGCCGAUGUUAUAGUGAGGAUGGUGAAUAAUCAAAGCAAACAGGAAAUGGAUUUUGGUGCCCGUUGGCAAAUCGUUGCCCACUGGCAAACUUUAAUAAAACCUAGUAAACUGUGAAAUCAAGAGUUAACAAGGGGAUAUUGGCACACAUGGAGAGAGGCCUGGGUUCAGUGGUAGAGUGCAUGAAGGAUGUUCAAAAUAAGCUCCUGCCUGAAGCCCUGGACAGCUGCUGCCAGUUAGUGUUGGCGAUAUUAGUCUGACUUUGCAUGAGAAAGCUUCUUAGGUUCCUAUGGACAAAAGCCUGUCACUUUCUUUCUAGCCAAGGACCUAAGAGAUUUCUUUCCGUCUCCAAGUACAGAAGAUAUGAAGGCAAAGAAAGGCCUAUUGAAAGCAGAGGACAUGGCUGCUGACUUCUCCGAAUUCAGCCUCACUUGAGAGAUUGAGGCAGGGCUGGCCCAAGACAUUUUGCUGCCUGAGGCAAAGAACAAGACAUUGUCCCAUAUACAAUUUAAAAACCAAAUUUAAAACAAAUGUAAGAAGCUACAAGGGCUUA